rnacentral:rRNA from 1 species
CCUACGGGGGGCAGCAGUGAGGAAUAUUGGUCAAUGGACGAGAGUCUGAACCAGCCAAGUAGCGUGAAGGAUGACUGCCCUAUGGGUUGUAAACUUCUUUUAUAUGGGAAUAAAAUGUUCCACGUGUGGGAUUUUGUAUGUACCAUAUGAAUAAGGAUCGGCUAACUCCGUGCCAGCAGCCGCGGUAAUACGGAGGAUCCGAGCGUUAUCCGGAUUUAUUGGGUUUAAAGGGAGCGUAGGUGGAUUGUUAAGUCAGUUGUGAAAGUUUGCGGCUCAACCGUAAAAUUGCAGUUGAAACUGGCAGUCUUGAGUACAGUAGAGGUGGGUGGAAUUCGUGGUGUAGCGGUGAAAUGCUUAGAUAUCACGAAGAACUCCGAUUGCGAAGGCAGUUCACUGGACUGCAACUGACACUGGGGCUCGAAAGUGUGGGUAUCAAACAGGAUUAGAUACCCUGGUAGUC